rnacentral:rRNA from 1 species
ACACAUGCAAGUCGAACGGAAACGAAAAUAGCUUGCUAUUUGGCGUCGAGUGGCGAACGGGUGAGUAACGCGUAGGAAUCUACCCAGUAGAGGGGGAUAGCCCGAAGAAAUUCGGAUUAAUACCGCAUAAUCUCUACGGAGUAAAGAAGGCCUCUUUACAAUGCUUUUACUAUUGGAUGAGCCUGCGUUAGAUUAGUUAGUUGGUAGGGUAAAAGCCUACCAAGGCGACGAUCUAUAGCUGGUUUUACGAGAAUGAUCAGCCACACUGGAACUGAGACACGGUCCAGACUCCUACGGGAGGCAGCAGUGAAGAAUAUUGGACAAUGGGGGAAACCCUGAUCCAGCAAUGUUGCGUGUGUGAAGAAGGUCCGAGGAUUGUAAAGCACUUUCAGUAAGCAAGAAAAAUGUAAAUCUAAUAGAUUUGCAUGUUGACCACUUAUAGAAGAAGCACCGGCUAACUCCGUGCCAGCAGCCGCGGUAAUACGGAGGGUGCGAGCGUUAAUCGGAAUUACUGGGCGUAAAGGGUAAGUAGGCGGUUUAUAAAGUCACAUGUGAAAGCCCUAGGCUUAACCUAGGAAGUGCAUGUGAUACUCAUAAACUAGGGUUUGAUAGAGGAAAGUAGAAUUUCUGGUGUAGCGGUGGAAUGCGUAGAUAUCAGAAGGAAUAUCAGUUGUGAAGACGGCUUUCUGGAUCAAUACCGACGCUGAGGUACGAAAGCGUGGGGAGCAAACAGGAUUAGAUACCCUGGUAGUCCACGCUGUAAACGAUGAUAACUAGUCGUUAGAAGAUUAUCUUUUAGUGACGAAGCUAACGCGUUAAGUUAUCCGCCUGGGGAGUACGAUCGCAAGAUUAAAACUCAAAGGAAUUGACGGGGACCCGCACAAGCGGUGGAACAUGUGGUUUAAUUCGAUGCAACGCGAAGAACCUUACCUGGUCUUGACAUCCUGUGAAUUUUCUAGAAAUAGAAGAGUGCCUUCGGGAACACAGUGACAGGUGCUGCAUGGCUGUCGUCAGCUCGUGUCGUGAGAUGUUGGGUUAAGUCCCUCAACGAGCGCAACCCCUAUUCCUAUUUGCUAACACCUUGGGUGAGAACUAUAGGAAAACUGCUAGUGAUAAACUGGAGGAAGGUGGGGACGAGGUCAAGUCAUCAUGGCCCUUACGACCAGGGCUACACACGUGUUACAAUGGAAAGUACAAAGGGUUGCUAAAUUGUGAAAUGGAGCUAAUCCCACAAAGCUUUCCGUAGUUCAGAUUAGAGUCUGCAACUCGACUCUAUGAAGUCGGAAUCGCUAGUAAUCGCGUAUCAGAAUGUCGCGGUGAAUACGUUCUCGGGUCUUGUACACACCGCCCGUCACACUACGGGAGUAGGUUAUACCAGAAGUGGUUAGUUUAA